rnacentral:rRNA from 1 species
UACGGGGGGGGCAAGCGUUGUUCGGAAUUACUGGGCGUAAAGGGCUCGUAGGCGGCCAACUAAGUCAUACGUGAAAUCCCUCGGCUUAACCGGGGAACUGCGUCUGAUACUGGAUGGCUUGAGAUUGGGAGAGGGAUGCGGAAUUCCAGGUGUAGCGGUGAAAUGCGUAGAUAUCUGGAGGAACACCGGUGGCGAAGGCGGCAUCCUGGACCAACACUGACGCUGAGGAGCGAAAGCCAGGGGAGCAAGCGGG